rnacentral:tRNA from 1 species
GGAGUAUUGACAGAGCCUGGUAAUGUGGCAUCCUGCUAAGAUGACGCCUGUGGUUAUACCCAGCGGGGGUUCAAAUCCCUCAUACUCCGCCA